GUUUUAAUGCACUGUAUUAUUGUCUAAGUAGAGGCCAGGAUGUUUAAAACAUAAUACAAUUUCUUUCCCCCAUAACCUAAUGCCAAUAAAAUGGUGGUGCAUGUGUGUAUUUUAUGUGAAGCAGAAAUGAGAAAUAACCUAUCACUUAUGACAGUUUGUGAGAAUAAUCUUCCCAUGAGCAGGAAAAGAUAAUGAAUUGCCUUAUAUAGUUGUUGUAUGACAGCAGUUUGCAUGAUCAAGAAUACAAAAACUACAGAUUCAUACAAGAAAAGUACUCGCUACAAAUUCAGCCACAACACUUGCAACAUCUGUAUACUUGACUUUGGCACUUGAACAAGAAAAAAUUUAAUAUUGCUUGGCAGACCAUGACAGCAAAUUUUGUCCAAGGAAUAUAUUGUAUCCAUCUUUGAUGUAAUGCAUUAUCCGUUUCACUGCUGAAAAAGAGUCUCCCAUGGUGCAUGUACGUGUGUUUGACAGACUUGGUUCAUUGUGAAGAAGAUAUCUGGUCUGGUAUAUGUAUUGAAGGAACCCACUAUCCCUCAGUAUUCUAAGGUAUCUUGAAGUAAUGGGCUGUCGGUGUAUGUGAACAAUCUUCAUUGCAGACAGCAAAACUCCUGAGUCCUCCAGACUUGUUGGAAUUCUUUCUUUGUGAGAAGGGUGCCAACUGCCAAAUAAGUUUUACCAUCUGUCCUAAGUAUUGAAAGAGUUUGUCCCAUUGAUCCUGAAGAAAUGAAUGAUGCCUCAAGAAAUGAAAUCAGACCCCACAUAACAUUGCUCUUCAAAGCCAAACUAUGAAACCCGAAUCACUAGUUUAGUAUGAUCUGUUCAGGCAAGUAACCCAGCGAUUCAAUUAUUCAAUUCCUCCAGAUAGAUGAAGCCAAACUUGAUAAAGCUAGUUCUUGCUCAUUGCCAUUCACAAAUUGGCGAAGAUUAUCAGCAAAGAGAACACAGCUUGAAUCCAAACUUCAAUUUGCCCCAUUAUAACAUGAACUGCAGAGCUACUGUUACCUGAGGCAGCAGCAUCAGGAACAAAUAGCAUUGAAACGUACCAUCUCUUUCUACUUUUUGCUUCACUCUCCUGCAUUCAGAGUGAAGCAAACAAACAUGGCAAAGUUGAGAGCUCUCAUAAUUUGAGAGCUCUCAUACUUACUAGAAGACAGUCAAUUAUUUGCCCAGAGCAGAAAAUUAACAAGUGCAACCGACCAAUUGUACCUUUCAUACAGACAGCUCAUAUAUUCCAAGCAUCAUCACUUGGAGGAAUCUACCCAACUAAAGGCUGCUUCUUUCUUGAUAUUUUUCCUUUCCAUCAUUAUUCUUACUUCUGUUGCAUUAUCCCAUUGUCCCGCAUCAGCAUACAUGUUGUAUAACAAGACAUAGGGAACUGAGCUAUCUGGUUCAAGUCUCAUCAACGCUUCAGCAGCAACACGGGCCAUCUCUACAUUGUUGUGGACCCUAGAAGCACCCAAUAAAGCACCCCAAACAAUCUUAUCAGGCUCAAAUGGCAUGCUAUUGAUCAAAUCCAAGGCCUCCUGAAGCUGUCCAUGCCGACCCACAACGUCCACCAGGGAGGCAAAGUGUUCAAGCCUUGGCUCUAUACCAUAUUCACUAACCAUGGAUUUAAAUAUCCCUCGACCUUCUUCAACCAGUCCUGCAUAAGCACAGGCAUUCAAAACUGAAAUAAACGUUAUAUAAGUAGGUUGCACUUUGAAACUUUUCAUCAAUUUGAAAAGUUCCAAAGCCUCUGUAGUAUAACCAUGAGAUGCAUAUCCUCCAAUCAUUGCAUUCCAAGAGAUUACUUCUUUCUGCAAUUUCACCUCAUAAAAAAUGGUCUGAGCCUCAAUUAUUGCACCACAUUUUGAAUACAUGGUGAUAAGGGCAUUUUUUAUUGGAACAUCUGGGAUAACUGUCUUUUUUACCAGUUGAUGAAUUUGCAUACCCAGAUGUAGAUCCACAAUCCCAGAAGAUACAAUAAGAAGCGAAGAUAAAGUGUGCCGAUCAGGUUUCUCACCUUCAACUUGCAUCUGGACGAAAAGUUUAAUUGCUCCUUUAUAAUCCUCGUUCUUCUCAUAUCCAGCAAUCAUGAUAUUCCAUGAGAUCAAGUUCUUUUGGGGCAUCCUCUGAAAGAGAUCAUGAGCAAGUUCCAUAUUACCUCCCUGGGCAUAUCCUGAGAUCAUCGAAUUCCAUGAAAGGGUAUCUGGAUUCAGCAUUUUACAAAAGAGGUUUGAGGCCUCCUCCAUAUUUGACACAUGAACAUAUCCACUAAUCAUGGUAUUCCACGAAAAAGUGUCUCUUUCCCUCAUUUGGUCAAAAAGUUCUCUAGCAGAGACAGUAUCCCCCGCCUUCACAUAGCACAUGAUCAUGGUAUUCCAUGACACGACAUUUCUCACAAACCUCCUUCUGCUUUCGUUUCCUUGCUCAUCACAAAAUGGGAUCUGAUCAAAAAGAUUUCGAGCUUCAUCCACCCUUCCUCUCUGACCAUACCCUGCUAUCAAAGUAUUAUAAGCAUGCACCAAAUCUUCCUUCCCGCCAUCAUUAUUCCCACAUUCAAACAAAAUUCUUGCAGCUUCAUCCAAUUCCCCAUUCUGAAUAAGACCCGAAACAAGUACACUCAGGGAUGCUGCAUCCCUCUCAGGAAUUUUCUCAAAAAACUCAAUUGCACGCACCACAUCACCAUUCUGCAAAAACCCAGUAACCAUAGCAUUCCACGAGACAGCAUUCCGCUCAGGCAUUUUAUUAAAAAGCUGAAAGGCCUCAUCCAUCCUUCCAUUCUUUGCAUACCCACUAAUCAUCGUGUUCCAAGAAACGUAGUCCCUCUCUGGCAUUUUAUCAAACAGGUACCUUCCCUCCUCUACAAACCUCUUCCCACGACACGACACAUACCCUGAAAUCAUCAAAUUCCACGACACAAUAUCCCUCUUAGGCAUUUCGUCGAACAGUUUUCUUGCUUUGGUCAUCUCUCCCCGUUUCACGUACCCACUAAUCAUCGAAUUCCAUGAAACUGUGUUUCUCCGCUCUAUUUUAUCAAACAAUGCCCUUGCUUCGUUAAUCCGACCCAUCCUGGUGAAAUGUGAGAUCUUUUUGUUCAGGGAAUACAAGUCUAGGUCCUGAAAAGAACUCUUUGAUCUUGGAAUAGAUGCAAAACAGCGAGUUUCUACACCGGCGAAAAGUUGGCUUGUAAUUUGGAGCUCCCUUUUGCAUGUUAUUAUAAAGCCGAUGAUCAACCUGCGAGUCAUUAUCGAAGGAGUUAAGUACACAGCAACGAAAGUAAGGAUUUUCGUUUGAUGAGGCAUUGGGUGAAGGGUAUAUGCAUUUGCAGCUAUCCCAUGUAUUCAUGCUAAACCAGACAUGUAUCGUACCCGGCUACUGCGCAGAAUGUAGCUGUGCAAAACUAAGAUGAUUAUCAAAAUCAUGCAUUAUUGCAUAACUGGGUCGGUUUGGGUAGGAACCAGUGUUAGAAACAGUCGAAAAUUGGGUGUCU
rnacentral:misc_RNA from 1 species